UUUAUUAAUGAAGAUUAUUAUUUUAGAUCUCCGUGGUGGGCAAAGCAGUUUUAAUAACAGGAUGUGAUUCAAGGAUGGGUUACGCUCUGGCUAGAUAUCUAGAUGAAUUAGGAUUUACGGUUUUCGCCGGGUUUCAAAACGUCGAAGAUAACCAAUACGCCGACGAUCUUAAAGAAGAAUCGAGCGGACGACUUCACGUCUUGCAACUCGACGUUUCCUCUGAAACCCAAAUUCUCGCAGCUUCUUUGUACAUUGUUGAACAUCUUCCAGAUGACGCCCCCGGACUUUGGGCCGUCAUCCACGCCGCCAAUUAUUUUGCAAUGGGUGAAAUCGAAUGGAUACCUUAUGAUGCGGUGAAAAAAGCAACCGAAGUUAAUUUGGUCGGGGCUACAAGAGUCACCCAAGUGAUGGCUCCGCUUCUACGAAGAGCUAAAGGGAGAUUGGUGUUUUUAUCUUCUGGGUUAUGUAGGAUUACUUCGCCGGUUCGUGGACUUCAUUGUGCUUUAUUCGCCGCUGUUGAAGCACAAGCGAUGUGUUUGAGGCAAGAAAUGAGAUCUAGAGGGGUUGAUGUUGUUGUUGUUGCACCUGGAGAGUUUACAGCUUGUGCUUCUUGGUUGACGGAAGAAGAUCUUUUAGAGGAGGCGAAAGAAAUGUGGGCGAGAUUGGGGAGAGAGGCUAGAAAAGAAUAUGGCGAGCAAUAUUUUGAAACUGCUGUUAGGAGCUUGGAAAAAUAUUGUAAAGUACAGGACGGAGAUUUAGCAGCGGUUUUAAAAGCAUUGUCGGAUUCGAUCACCCGAACAUUUCCACUAGAGAAAUACACUCCGGUUACCAAAAAAGAAAAACUACAAGCUUUUAUCUCCGAUCAUCUUCCACGGCCGGUUUAUGACGUUUUCUAUUCUUAAAUUAAUUUAUAAAUCGAAAUAUUCUCGAAUAUUUGUUUAAAGUAAAAUCAAUUCAUUUUUUAGAUGAUAAAUAUUAGAAAAAAUAACAUUUCAAGUAGGAGUCUGAAAAAGAAUUGGACUGAAAAUGAAAAAAAAAAAAUAAGAAAAAAUUAAAAUAAAUAAAUGUGAAUUAGAUGAUCAAUUUUGUUUGAGUCUGUAGGUGUAUUUUGAAAUGUGGAUUUGGGUGCUGUAAUAAAAUUUGAAAAAAUAUGUUUAUUGUAGAUUUCAAAAUCUAUAAUAAAAUUCUAAAAUAAU